CUCAUAUCUUGGAACAAAGACCUCUUUCAAGACAGACAGUCCCAAGGAAUCUCAGACAUUUUGGGGGGCCCAGAAGAGAAUGAUUCAGAGGAGACUGAAGGCUUAAGGGUUGACUCAUGGAUGUUUAGUAUUGCUACAGACACUGAUCUUAGGUCAGGCACUGCUGGGAGCUUCAUUCGGGCUGACAGCGGCAUUUAUGAGAGCAAAUGUCUGUCCCUGCGCAAUUUCUGUGGGGAUAGUUGCAGUCAGGUCUACAGGAUUUGCUUAAAAAUUUCCAAGACCUGGGUGUGUCUGACAGCCUGGACCUCAACCUCAAAAAGGAACUAGCUCCUCUCUGAUUUCCUUGGGACACCUGGGAGCAAGCACAGGAGCCCAUGGAGCCACGGAGAGUGUCACUUCAAGCGCCUCCUGGGAGCUCUUGCAGAUGCCAAGUGCUCUGCCCUUCCCCAUUACCUGUGAUUUCAAGUGGGCUUAGAGAUUCUCCAAGAUGUGAGAUGAAAGGCCAAGAAACUAAUUCCUCUGACUUCUUCAGAGAACCGCACAGUCUCUUGAGGUAAUCUCUCAGCUUGGAAAAACAGCAUCAAGCAACUAGUGAAAGUGAUUCUCUGUGCACUCCAGGUCCCCGACUGCUUGCUGAACUGACUUGAUAUAGAUGUUGGUUUCACAAUACUGGGAAGUGUGAAAUAGCUGAUGAACUUUAAAGAAAUCAUCCCUAUCACAUGUCAACAAAUUGAAGGCUGUCCUCUCCAACAGCUACAGGAUGGGCAGCUGUUCUCUGUUGCUGAUUAAAUGCAGAUCCAUAAGCUUUGGCAAGAAGUUGAGUGGAGGAAGUGUUGAUUGCCUCCUGAGGAAACCAAGAUGCCUAACAAUGACUUAGGCCUGAGUCCUUGCUCAGGGCUGUGUGUGUUUAUGUGUUCCACAAUCAUCUGUAGAAAAUUAUUGGGGGAAAUUCUCCCCCGAUAUUUCACUUAGGUUCUUUUCUGUUUUCCCUAAGUGUCAGCUGGUCUGAGAAAUAAAGGGACAGAGUACAAAAGAGAGAAAUUUUAAAGCUGGUUGUCCGGGGGAGACAUCACAUGUCGGCAGGUUCUGUGAUGCCCCCUGAGCCAUAAAACCAGCAAGUUUUUAUUAUUGAUUUUCCAAAGGGGAAGGAGUGUACCAAUAGGGUGUGGUUCACAGAGAUCAUGUGCUUCACAAGGUAAUAGAAUAUCACAAGGCAAAUGGAGGCAGGGUGAGCUCACAGGACCACAGGACCAGGGCGAAAUUAAAAUUGCCAGUGAAGUUUUGGGCACGCAUUGUCAUUGAUAACAUCUUAUCAGGAGACAGGGUUUGAGAGCAGACAACCAGUCUGACCAAAAUUUAUUAGGCGGGAAUUUCCUCAUCCUAAUAAGGCUGGGAGCACUACUGAGACCCGGGCUUAUUUCAUCCCCUAUCUACAACCGUAAAAGACAGCUGUCCCCAGAGCGGCCAUUUGAGAGGCCUCCCCUUAGGGACGCAUUCUCUUUCUCAGGGAUGUUCCUUGCUGAGAAAAAGAAUUCAAUGAUAUUUCUCCUAUUUGCUUUUGAAAGAAGAGAAAUAUGGCUCUGUUCUGCCUGGCUCACAGGCAGCCAAAGUUUAAGGUUAUCUCCCUUGUUCCCUGAACAUUGCUGUUAUCCUGGUCUUUUUUCAAGGUGCCCAGAUUUCAUAUUGUUCAAACACACAUGCUCUACAAACAAUUUGUGCAGUUAACGCAAUCUUCACAGGGUCCUGAGGUGACAUACAUCCUCCUCAGGGAUUAAGAGAUUAAAGUAAAGGCAGGCAUAAGAAAUCACAAGGGUAUUGAUUGGGGUAGUGAUAAGUGUCCAUGAAAUCUUCACAAUUUAUAUUCAGAGAUUGCAGUAAAGACCGGCUUAAGAAAUUAUAAAAGUAUUAAUUUGAGGAACUAUUAAAUGUCCAUGAAAUCUUCACAAUUUAUGUUCUUCUGCUGUGGCUUCAUCCAGUCCCUCCGUUCAGGCUCCCUAACUUCCCACAGCAGAAAAUGAUUUUGGAUCCACCAGAAAACACAAACUAUGAUGGAUGACCAGAGCUCUAACAUUUGCACUCCUUACUAAAAGAACACAAUCGUUUUAGUCUUGGGAAUGUUCAGAGUAAGUGAAAUCAGUUAAGUAUCCCAAUCAAAAAGAAUCUCCAGAAAGCACCUCACAUUUGAACUUGAGAAAGCAAAUUUUUAGUGAAAUGAUUUAUUUAAACAAAUCUUUGUUUGUAAACCUCUUGGGAUGAGGAUUGUCUACAAAACCAUAACUUGAAUUUGAGACUAGUUGGUCUUACUUUGAAGCAACACAGAACUACAAUGCUUAGCUGUUUGAUGCACAACUAGAUAGAGAUGGCACACUUCAUCAUCCACCUAAAAGAAGAUGCAUGUAUUCAUAUUACCUACAUUCUCCAUACCAGGCAAUUAUGUAGCCACCUUAGCUGUGAAUAGUAUAAGAUAAUUAACAAAUAAGUGUUAGAGAAGUGGUAAUUGUAAGUUCUAGAAAAUAUUACUUGAGUGCAUUUUUUUGUUUUUCUUAAUUUGUGGGAAUUGCUCCAUUCUGAAUGAAUUAAUUAAUUUUUUAACAGUAAUACCCUUAGUAGUAAAAAUCCAAACAAUGCUGUAACUAUAGAAUAAAACCCUCCCUUUCCCUCCCACCCUUCUUGCCAAGGGUAAUAACUUUCCAAAGUUUCUGCUUUUACUUUUUCGGGCCAUGGUUUUCAUAGCUCUAAAUAAUAUGUUCAGGGCCCUAGUUCUUGAUCUGCCAACUUUCAACAGUGUCUCUUGGCUCCUCUCCGUUAAAAAAAAAAUUAAAUUACAUACAUCAAAUUUUACUCAGCCUAAACUUUAUUUAUAUAUGUGUGAUUAUUUUCUCUUUUAGUUCUUUUGUUUUAUUUUUAUGACUUCAAAAUAUGUCAAAGCUAUUUCUUGAUCUCUAUUUACAGGGCACCCUUUGACUCUCCAUGUACGUUAAAGGAAUUAAAACCUUUGUUUUCCUGCUCUUCCUCUUCCCUCUCCAUCUCAUCAUCUGUCAGUUCUGUUCUUAUCUCAAACUGUAAGGUUUAUAAUAUUUUCAUUCUCCUUUGUCGGUAUAUUGUAUUUUAUCAAAUCUAACAUGCCACAUAAUUGUUGUAUGUUUCAUUAAACUAAGAAAAUGCCGUCAAUGGUACUUUAUUGGUUACACAGUACGUCCCAUUUUCAAGGAGGCUAAAAUGUUGGGGGGGAAGUUCCAUUAGAUUUUAUAAGAGAUAAUAAUUAGUCUCCUGUACUUUGUAGGUAAAUUCUAAAAAUAAAAAUAAGCUACUUUUACAAUAUUGUUGUGUAAUAUUUCAGUAGAAUGGAUUAGGAUCAUAGAAGAGGGAUAGAAGUUUUUGUCACUAAACCAGUGCUACCCAAAUGUAAUGGUUACAUGUCAAAAAGAUUCUCUUUUUUUACAGCCUAAAUUUGUCCUAAAUCAUGCACCAUUUUAAUGUUCUUCAUGUUGAGCUUUGAUUUUAUGUUUCUUUCCUAGACUGUCUAUUGUAUAUAUUUUAGCAU
rnacentral:lncRNA from 1 species